CUCCUACGGGAGGCAGCAGUGGGGAAUAUUGCACAAUGGGGGAAACCCUGAUGCAGCAACGCCGCGUGAGCGAUGAAGGCCUUCGGGUUGUAAAGCUCUGUCUUCGCUGACGAAUAAAUGACGGUAAGCGAGGAGGAAGCCACGGCUAACUACGUGCCAGCAGCCGCGGUAAUACGUAGGUGGCGAGCGUUGUCCGGAAUUAUUGGGCGUAAAGGAUGCGUAGGCGGUAGAUUAAGUGGGGUGUGAAAGCCACAGGCUCAACCUGUGAAUGGCACUCCAAACUGGUCUACUAGAGUGCGGGAGAGGAAAGUGGAAUUCCUAGUGUAGCGGUGAAAUGCGUAGAGAUUAGGAGGAACACCAGUUGCGAAGGCGACUUUCUGGAACGUAACUGACGCUGAUGCAUGAAAGCGUGGGGAGCAAACAGGAUUAGAUACCCUGGUAGUCCACGCCGUAAACGAUGAGAACUAGAUGUCGGGAGGAAUUGCCUUUCGGUGUCGCAGCUAACGCGUUAAGUUCUCCGCCUGGGGAGUACGCCGGCAACGGUAAAACUCAAAGGAAUUGACGG
rnacentral:rRNA from 1 species